rnacentral:rRNA from 1 species
GACGAACGCUGGUGGCGUGCCUAAUACAUGCAAGUUGAGCGCUGAAGGUUGGUACUUGUACCCACUGGAUGAGCAGCGAACGGGUGAGUAACGCGUGGGGAAUCUGCCUUUGAGCGGGGGACAACAUUUGGAAACGAAUGCUAAUACCGCAUAAAAACUUUAAACACAAGUUUUAAGUUUGAAAGAUGCAAUUGCAUCACUCAAAGAUGAUCCCGCGUUGUAUUAGCUAGUUGGUGAGGUAAAGGCUCACCAAGGCGAUGAUACAUAGCCGACCUGAGAGGGUGAUCGGCCACAUUGGGACUGAGACACGGCCCAAACUCCUACGGGAGGCAGCAGUAGGGGAUCUUCGGCAAUGGACGAAAGUCUGACCGAGCAACGCCGCGUGAGUGAAGAAGGUUUUCGGAUCGUAAAACUCUGUUGGUAGAGAAGAACGUUGGUGAGAGUGGAAAGCUCAUCAAGUGACGGUAACUACACAGAAAGGGACGGCUAACUACGUG